GAUGAAGAACGCAGCGAAAUGCGAUACGUAAUGUGAAUUGCAAAUUCAGUGAAUCAUCGAGUCUUUGAACGCACAUUGCGCCCCCUGGUAUUCCGGGGGGCAUGCCUGUCCGAGCGUCAUUGCUGCCCUCAAGCACGGCUUGUGUGUUGGGCCCCGUCCUCCGAUCCCGGGGGACGGGCCCGAAAGGCAGCGGCGGCACCGCGUCCGGUCCUCGAGCGUAUGGGGCUUUGUCACCCGCUCUGUAGGCCCGGCCGGCGCUUGCCGAUCAACCCAGAUUUUUUAUCCAGGUUGACCUCGGAUCAGGUAGGGAUACCCGCUGAACUUAAGCAUAUCAAUAAGCGGAGGA
rnacentral:misc_RNA from 1 species